AAGCUCGUAGUUGAAUUUCGAAUGUGGCUGGGCGGUCCGGCCUCGACGGUGGUGUACUGUCUGGCCGUGUUCUCUUUCUUGGUGAGCCGGCAUGCCCUUUACUGGGUGUGUUGGGGAACCAGGACGUUUACCUUGAGAAAAUUAGAGUGUUCAAAGCAGGCCUACGCCCGAAUACAUUAGCAUGGCAUAAUAAAAUAGGACGUGCGGUUCUAUUUUGUUGGUUUCUAGAGCCGCAGUAAUGAUUAAUGGGAUAGUUGGGCAGCGGGCGUGGCAAGG
rnacentral:rRNA from 1 species